rnacentral:misc_RNA from 1 species
UAAACCGAGAAGAGUUGCUUUUUGUUCUUGAAUAGAUAAUACUUCAAUGUGUAUUCAAAACUUGAACUCGUGGUUUGCGACACAAUGAGUUAUUUGCGCUCUGUACACCACAUGAAAUCGUACUCCUGAAGUUCUUCACCUUGCCACUAACCCACCAGAGGACCGGUUGAGGGAUUUUGUCCAGUUAGCGACCCAAGACUAAAUACGUGCACACUCUCUCCAGUAUUAAAUGUCUGCGAAAAUGACGAAGACUGCCCGGGGACCAAAAAGUGUUGUGAUAAUGGAUGUUCCAAAGUUUGUGCUGUUGCUCUACCACGGCCGCCUUUAAAACAUAUACCAAACGAACGAAGACGACCCGUAGUUUUUGGAUAGAUGUUACUUGAGCAUGGUCAUUUUUAUUGGAAGCUACAAAUAAUGAACGUCUUUUGAAAUAGGAGAGUGUUUACAUCAUUUACUCGUGUCAGAGGCGUCAUUAGGCAAUGGCACAGGGGGGCCUGAAUCUUUUAAGCACCUAUAGCGACGCCUCUGACUCGUGUUUUAAUAUUUUACAAAACGUAUCGAAUACUCACCUAAUGUAAGAAAUUUUGCUUAAUUUCAUAUAAAAUACCUAAGAAAAUUAAAAGUUGUUUGUUUAUAUAUGUGUGUGUAUUUUUAAUAAUUUUUUUCAGUACUUUCUUUUAUGA